rnacentral:rRNA from 1 species
UACGUAGGGGGGCAAGCGUUGUCCGGAAUCAUUGGGCGUAAAGAGCGUGUAGGCGGCUCGAUAAGUCUGCUGUGAAAAGUCCAGGGCUCAACCCUGGAAGGCCGGUGGAAACUGUCGGGCUAGAAUCCGGAAGAGGCGAGUGGAAUUCCCGGUGUAGCGGUGAAAUGCGCAGAUAUCGGGAGGAACACCAAUGGCGAAGGCAGCUCGCUGGGACGGCAUUGACGCUGAGACGCGAAAGCGUGGGGAGCGAACAGG